rnacentral:tRNA from 1 species
ACCCCUGUAGCGCAGAGGAUAGCGCGUUGGGCUUCUAACCCAUAGAUCGUGGAUUCGGAUCCCACCAGGGGUG